rnacentral:rRNA from 1 species
UACGUAGGGUGCAAGCGUUAAUCGGAAUUACUGGGCGUAAAGCGUGCGCAGGCGGUUUUGUAAGUCUGACGUGAAAUCCCCGGGCUCAACCUGGGAAUUGCGUUGGAGACUGCAAGGCUGGAGUCUGGCAGAGGGGGGUGGAAUUCCGCGUGUAGCAGUGAAAUGCGUAGAGAUGCGGAGGAACACCGAUGGCGAAGGCAGCCCCCUGGGCUAGCACUGACGCUCAGGCACGAAAGCGUGGGGAGCAAACAGG